rnacentral:misc_RNA from 1 species
GAUGAAGAACGCAGCGAAAUGCGAUAAGUAAUGUGAAUUGCAGAAUUCAGUGAAUCAUCGAAUCUUUGAACGCACCUUGCGCCCUUUGGCCAUUCCGAAGGGCAUGCCUGUUUGAGUAUCAUGAACACCUCAACUCUUUAUGGUUUUCCAUGAUGAGCUUGGACUCUGGGGGUUUUGCUGGCUCACAGUCGGCUCCUCUAAAAUGAAUCAGCUUACCAGUGUUUGGUGGGUAUCAUGGGUGUGAUAACUAUCUACGCUUGUGGUUUUUCCACCAGGUAACCUUCAGCAGUGGAGGUUCGCUGGAGCUCAUAGAUGUCUCUCCUCAGUGAGGACGGCCCUUUGAAUGUUUGAUCUCAAAUCAGGUAGGACUACCCGCUGAACUUAAGCAUAUCAAUAAGCGGAGGA